AGAACAAAGGCGCUUAUCUUAU
rnacentral:miRNA from 1 species